UACGGGGGGGGCAAGCGUUGUUCGGAAUUACUGGGCGUAAAGGGCUCGUAGGUGGCCAACUAAGUCGGACGUGAAAUCCCUCGGCUUAACCGGGGGAACUGCGUCUGAUACUGGAUGGCUUGAGUUCGGGAGAGGGAUGCGGAAUUCCAGGUGUAGCGGUGAAAUGCGUGGAUAUCUGGAGGAACACCGGUGGCGAAGGCGGCUCUCUGGGACGGUACUGACGCUGAGGCGCGAAAGCGUGGGGAGCGAACAGG
rnacentral:rRNA from 1 species